CCUCAGUCUUCAGUGGGAGGAGCUCUACAAGGGCAGAUUUUUUUCUGUGCUUCUCUGACUGACCUAUGGCUUCUUCUACGCUUUUAGCUCAAGGCAGCAGCUGUACUUGGAUGCACUCUUCUUUCCACAUUGCAGUAACAUGCCUCCCAAGGUGAAAGAAGGUAAUUGUUCUUUGUGGAUUUUCCAGAACCUAAUUGGGUGUAUCAUACUUACAGAGCUCUGUAGAAUACAAGGUGCCAUAAUUACACACAACAAAGAUGUGGAACUGGGUGGCAAAGCUACCUUGAGAUGUACACCAUCAAAACUGUAUGAGACUACUCAAGUUACAUGGCAGAAACAAAUGAAUGGAAGCCUUGUAAAUAUUGCAGUGUAUCAUAAUGUAAGAGGUCCGAAAAUUGUUCUGCCAGACGCACAAUUCAAUUUCACAGUUUUAGGAGUUAAUGAAACUGCAAUCACCUUUUGGAAUGCCAGCAUCCAAGAUAAUGGGUGCUACCAAUGCAUAUUUAAUACAUUUCCCUUGGGGCCUGUCACAGGGAAACCCUGUCUUUCUGUUUAUGCUCACCUCAACACCUUUAUACACUAUAAAACUUCUAAAACACAUACAGAUGCCACCUGCUUUGCAACUAGCUUCCCACAUCCUCAGAUCUCAUGGCUCACACAAGGAGGCAAAAUGAAUGAGAAACAGGUCACAAAUCCUAAUGGCACAGUGUCUGUCAUGAGCAGCAUCUUUCUAAAUACCUCAGAAAGCCAAGUUGGACAAGAACUGAUCUGUAGAGUUAAACACCGAGGAAAAGAAGUAGACCUCAAGCUGGCACUACCAGGAAGAGGUCACAGUCAUAAAAAUCAUGCGGUUCUAAUCCUUCUGUCCAUAAUGCCUAUGGUCCUUCCUAUGAAUUAGAUACAUCGCUUGAGGCUACAAAUCAUAAUGCCGCUCCUGAAUGAAUACACAAGACUAGCUGUGUUGUCACCAGAAAGUUUACUGCAGGAAACAUCGACAUGGAAAAAGCCAAGAAUGGGAGGCGUCUGCCAGCAUUCCUUUUUAUACCCUCCCCCCUCAUUUGAAAAUGCAUUUCCCACCCAACAAAACCCCGCGAAGUUUCCCCGCCAAGUCCAGCAGCCGUUUCUUCUCAGGAUCCCGAGAUGCAGAUGGGGAACUCAAAGCAGUUUCUAAACAUAUUAUGACAAAAUUUGAAUCAUAGAAUAGUAGAGUUGGAAGAGACCUCAUGGGCCAUCCAGUCCAACCCCCCGCCAAGAAGCAGGAAAUCGCAUUCAAAGCACCCCCGACAGAUGGCCAUCCAGCCUCUGCUUAAAAGCCUCCAAAGAAGGAGCCUCCACCACAGUCCGGGGGAGAGAGUUCCACUGCCAAACAGCUCACAGUGAGGAAGUUCGUCCUGAUGUUCAGGUUUCAAAGGGAUGCUUCAAUCAACCUCAACAUUUCGUUCCAUAAAAUUGACAAACAAAGGACCUAGGAGAUGGUACCAAUCUAGACUAAAUUGGCUAGACUGCAUUUUAAGACUAAAAAGUAAUGAUCCACCAAUCGAGUCUGGGAAAAGGAGGAAAGAUGACAGAGAAAACACUGGAAGCUAGAAGUGAUAUUGUUUUGAACCCUUAGAAAAACCGAGUGAAUUAAUUAUAUCAAUUUCAGAUGUAUGAAAGAAAUAUGGGUGAAGAGCCUUAUUGAAUCUUACAUUUUCUAUGAUGAUUGAUUCCUAGCAUUAUUUGUAACUGUGUUACAUGGCAAUUUCUUCUUUUACAUGGCCUCCACCCAAUGGUUCAGGUAGUUAAUCUGAGAAUUCGGAGUUGUGUCUUUUAUUCCCCUGCCUUUAUAGAUGAUUAUCAAUAUUAAUUAACUUAAUUUACUUCAGAAUCAGGUAGACCUCCCAUACAAUGUUUCGGGGUCUUUCUACAAAUGCUGCUAAGGGCUUUCUGCUUAAAAGCCUAUCCUCACAACACCAUUGCCUUCAUUAUAGUCUCCUUAUGUGACUACCUCUAGCAUUAAAAAAACCCCCAAAAUAUCCAACCCUUGCACUAAUUAUGGAAACACUUACAGAGGUUUUUUGAGAUUUUUUAUGGGAUUUACAUUAUAGUUUGCAUUUUUUUUACUCUUUCAAUUAAAUGUCACCUCAAAGUUGAGGAAUAUUCAGCAAAUACACAUGUACAUAAUUUAAAUAUAGAUAAUACUUUCAGAUAUCUAUGCAAAGGAACUGUAUCAAUGCCGUUUGGGAGGCUGUGCACUUAAUGGUCAUCUAAUCAGAAAAAGGAAUAAAGAAGGGAAACACUUUGUCAAAUAUAUUUGUAUUUAUGUCUUCACAAUAUGCAAACUAGUAGAACACUGUUCAUUAGUUGUAACGAAAAUAUCCCUAUUGAAUAACAUUGAAUAAUAUGUCUGUAAAGCUAAUUGAUUCAACGGUUUUUUCUCUAUUUGGGACUAAACCAGGAUUUAGACUAACACAGUUAAGUUGGUAAUCUUAACUGGAACUUUCUUUCAGUUUCUUCAGCUAUGUAAAAUAAUUGAUAUGAUAAAGACAGAAAUAUGACAACCUGCUGAAAUUAAAUUUACAUUUCCUCAGCUUGAUGUACAGAAGAGCAUUUUGAAAGUUAUCUAUUUCACAUAUAACUAUGAAUUUAACAUUAAGUUUAACAAUGAUUUUCAAAGGAUUACACUUCUGUGAAUUUUCUACAUUGACUCAAGCAGGAUCCAAAAAGUUCUCCCCGGAGGGACUCAACUGCUCAGAUUUCCUCCAGGGAGAGAUGGCAGGACAUAAAUAAAUAAAUUGUUGUUGUUAUUGUUGUUGUUGUUAUUUCACAAAGGAUUCUGGGAAGGCUAGUCUUAGCAAGCCCUGCUAGCUCCUUUGUCAUUCUUUGUGAACUUUAUGUUAAAUUAGAAGAUAUUUAGCAGUUUUCUGUGACUGAACCACAGCAAAGUUUCACUAUUAACUGAGUUUCACUUAUCUGCCAUUAUAAUUUAUGUGUACCUUUGCUAAGGGAUUGUGGCCAAGAAGGAAAAGACAGACACCAACCAUAGGUCUGAACCUGACGACUUCAAGUUUUGUUCAGGGAGGCUUUGGGCAACUGAUCAAACUGCUGAGAAAGAGAUUUUAACAGAUGGGUCUUGUAUUUUUUUAAAAAUUGCUGUGUUAAAAAUUGCUUAUGAAUUUAAAUUGUUAUAAUUUUAAGAUACAAUUGAAUUGAUGUAGUAAAUGUUUUGGUAUCAUUUCAGUCCAUAUUGAAAGCUGCUCUGUUUUAUGAUGGGAUCAUACAUCAAAAUAAAUAAUUAAAUAAAAAUAAUAAUUAAAACUUCUUAAUAUA